GUCAUAGAAUGCAUGUCAGUUUCACAUUCUAAUGUAUCUAAUGAGUGUUGAGGCAUUAGAGAAGGAUACAAACAGUCUUUCAAUGUAAAAGGAUAUCAAAGUGUUGGUUGGACCUAUCAUCUGGUACUAGACAGUCGAUGUCCACGAAUACGUCAAUACUUUUACAGUGAGGUGUUUCAAAUUUGCUUUAGAAUCCAUAGGAAAAACACUACAUUACAGUAUGCAGACUAUCACAAAGAAUGUGACGAGGAAGGAGGGGAGCUGAUGAAAAUUGAUUCUAAAGAAAAACAGCAAUUCAUUGUUUCAUUUCUUGAUCAGUUCACAUAUCUUGGAUGGAUUAUGUUCCAAGGUUCCCGUAUAUUGGCAGAAAAUCAUUGGAAAUAUGAUGAUGGAUCAAUCAUCACUUACUUUGACUGGUACCAAUCACAGCCUUAUACCACUGCUACCCUAAAUGACACAGUAGUCAUUGGAAUGAGAAAGAUAGAUGGUUAUAAAUGGCGUGACCUGCCGGUGACCGCUAAAGGUGCAUUUUUAUGCGAAAUACUACUUUCUUAGACUUUCAUUACGUAUAUCUAAAGCUUCAUAUUUUUGGGUACAAGCAAGACUUAAUUAUUACAAAUGACGUUCCAUAUUCUUUAAGAAUUGUAGCAUUGGUGUUUGUAGUAUUCAUUAUUUUCUAUGU